rnacentral:rRNA from 1 species
GAUGAACGCUGGCGGCGUGCCUAAUACAUGCAAGUCGAGCGAACGGACGAGAAGCUUGCUUCUCUGAUGUUAGCGGCGGACGGGUGAGUAACACGUGGAUAACCUACCUAUAAGACUGGGAUAACUUCGGGAAACCGGAGCUAAUACCGGAUAAUAUUUUGAACCGCAUGGUUCAAAAGUGAAAGACGGUCUUGCUGUCACUUAUAGAUGGAUCCGCGCUGCAUUAGCUAGUUGGUAAGGUAACGGCUUACCAAGGCAACGAUGCAUAGCCGACCUGAGAGGGGGAGCGCCCACAUGGGAACUGAGACCGGGACCGGACUCCGAGGGGGGGCCGAGGUGGGGAAUCUUCCGCAAGGGGCAAAGGCCGGACGGAGCAGCGCGGGGGGAGGGAGGAGGGUCUUGGGAUCGUAAAACUUUUUUAUGGGGAAAGAAAAUAUGUGAAAGUACCUGGGCACAUCUGGAGGGUACCUAAUAAAAAAGCCAGGGCUAACUCCGUC